CGAAUGACCAUAAACGACAAGAGAGUAUACCUACGUACGUCGCACGGCCCAGGGAAUUAAGCGCAAAGACGUAACCCUUUACCAAAGGAGGGCCGCUUGUAAUCCGAUAUCGAAAGGCACGAUGUUGCUACUGUUGUUACUGUUGUUGUUGUUUCCAUGAUCUUGUUGCGAACUCGGUCUACGGAAAUUAAGGAUCGGGGCCGAUCAUUGAAAAUGUUCACUCGCAUCGGAGACACGAAUAGAAAUGAUUAGAACGUAAACGUCGCGAUCUGCCAAAGACGUUGAAGAAGUUCGGGUGAAAAGAAGACGGCCAAGGGCGGUAAAGCGAGAAACGAAGAAGAAGAA
rnacentral:lncRNA from 1 species